GACGAACGCUGGCGGCGUGCUUAACACAUGCAAGUCGAACGGAAAGUGCUCUUCGGAGUGACUCGAGUGGCGAACGGGUGAGUAACACGGGGGUGAUCUGCCCUGCACUUUGGGAUACGCCUGGGAAACUGGGUCUAAUACCGACUAGGAUCAUGGCUCUCAUGGGUGGUGGUGGAAAGCUUUUGCGGGGUGUGAGGGGCCCGCGGCCUAUCAGCUUGUUGGUGGGGUAAUGGCCUACCAAGGCCACGACGGGUAGCCGGCCUGAGAGGGUGUCCGGCCACACUGGGACUGAGAUACGGCCCAGACUCCUACGGGGGGCAGCAGUGGGGAAUAUUGCACAAUGGGCGCAAGCCUGAUGCAGCGACGCCGCGUGAGGGAUGACGGCCUUCGGGUUGUAAACCUCUUUCAGUAGGGACGAAGCGCAAGUGACGGUACCUAUAGAAGAAGGACCGGCCAACUACGUGCCAGCCGCCGCAGUAACAC
rnacentral:rRNA from 1 species